UUCCAUGCAAAACACAAUUAAUAAAUAUAUGAAAUUAAAAUAAGUUUUUUUUAAAAAAAAUCAGUUUCCAUAUUUAAUGGGAUGAAUAUGCCAAAACAAGGAAUCCAUCUAAAACACAGUCAAUAAAUAGCUAAAUUUUGGAAUAGAAAUGCAAUAUCGUAGUUCAAUUAUUUAGUUGAAAUUAAGACCAAGGGUUAAAUACAAAAUACAACUAGCAACAAAAUUGAAAAUUAAAAUGAAAAAUCUAAUGGUUA
rnacentral:lncRNA from 1 species